ACGCUGGCGGCAGGCCUAACACAUGCAAGUCGAGCGGUAGCACAGGAGAGCUUGCUUUCUGGGUGACGAGCGGCGGACGGGUGAGUAAUGUCUGGGAAACUGCCUGAUGGAGGGGGAUAACUACUGGAAACGGUAGCUAAUACCGCAUGACCUCGCAAGAGCAAAGUGGGGGACCUUCGGGCCUCACGCCAUCGGAUGUGCCCAGAUGGGAUUAGCUAGUAGGUGGGGUAAUGGCUCACCUAGGCGACGAUCCCUAGCUGGUCUGAGAGGAUGACCAGCCACACUGGAACUGAGACACGGUCCAGACUCCUACGGGAGGCAGCAGUGGGGAAUAUUGCACAAUGGGCGCAAGCCUGAUGCAGCCGUGCCGCGUGUGUGAAGAAGGCCUUAGGGUUGUAAAGCACUUUCAGCGAGGAGGAAGGCGUUGCAGUUAAUAGCUGCAGCGAUUGACGUUACUCGCAGAAGAAGCACCGGCUAACUCCGUGCCAGCAGCCGCGGUAAUACGGAGGGUGCAAGCGUUAAUCGGAAUUACUGGGCGUAAAGCGCACGCAGGCGGUUUGUUAAGUCAGAUGUGAAAUCCCCGAGCUUAACUUGGGAACUGCAUUUGAAACUGGCAAGCUAGAGUCUUGUAGAGGGGGGUAGAAUUCCAGGUGUAGCGGUGAAAUGCGUAGAGAUCUGGAGGAAUACCGGUGGCGAAGGCGGCCCCCUGGACAAAGACUGACGCUCAGGUGCGAAAGCGUGGGGAGCAAAC
rnacentral:rRNA from 1 species